rnacentral:rRNA from 1 species
UUGCAGUUAAAAAGCUCGUAGUUGGACUUGUGUGCGCUGUCCGCGGGUGGCCUGCGCCCAAAAGGGCGUUUCGGUUCGGCCCCGGUGGCGCCUUGAAAUCUGCAGCUGGGGGGACGUUGGCCUUAACUGGUCGGCGACCGCACGCCGGCUGCUCGGUUACUGUGAGAAAAUUAGAGUGUUCAAGGCAGGCAUUGGGUGCAAUUGAAUACAUUAGCAUGGAAUAAUAAAAUAUGGCUCCUGCCGUAUUUUGUUGGUUUUGACUGGUGGGAGUAAUGAUUGAUAGGGACGGUUGGGGGUGCUAGUAUUGAGCGGCCAGAGGUGAAAUUCAUGGAUUCGCUCAAGACUAACUUAUGCGAAGGCAUUCACCAAGGACGUCCUCUUUAAUCAAGAUCGAAAGUUGGGGGAUCGAAGACGAUCAGAUACCGUCGUAGUCUCAACCAUAAACUAUGUCGACUUGGGAUCGGCGGUAGUUUUUUCAUUAAGACACUGUCGGGACCACGGGAGAAAUCAAAGUGUCUGGACUCUGGGGGAAGUAUGGUCGCAAGGCUGAAACUUGAAGGAAUUGACGGAAGGGCACCACCAGGAGUGGAGCCUGCGGCUUAAUUUGACACAACACGGGGAAACUUACCAGGUCCAGAGAUGUAGAGGAUUGACAGAUUGAAGCUCUUUCUUGAUCACUUCAGUGGUGGUGCAUGGCCGUUCUUAGUUGGUGUAGUGAUUUGUCUGGUUAAUUCCGCUAACGAACGAGACCUCAGCCUGCUAGUGUAGUCGGCUGGAUUGCCUUUGGCGAUCCGUGAUUUCGACUUCUUAGAGGGACAAUCGACGCGCAGUCGAUGGAAGUUUGAGGCAAUAACAGGUCUGUGAUGCCCUUAGAUGUUCUGGGCCGCACGCGCGCUACACUGCUGGGCUCAGCGAGUUUUACUUGGCCGAGAGGCCCGGUUAAUCUUGUGAAAUCCCAGCGUGCUUGGGCUCGCCUCCUGCAACUGGAGGCGCCAACGAGGAAUUCCUAGUAGACGCAGGUCAUCAACCUGCAUCGAUUACGUCCCUGCCCUUUGUACACACCGCCCGUCGUUCCAUAAGAGUGAGGCAUCCGGUGAAUUCUCGGGAGAGCCUGGGCGUGGCCAGCAAUGGUCUGCUCGGGUUUGAACUUGCAUAAACUUGGUGCCUAUGAUUAGGG